AUUGAACGCUGGCGGCAGGCCUAACACAUGCAAGUCGAACGAGUGGCGGACGGGUGAGUAAUGUCUGGGAAACUGCCUGAUGGAGGGGGAUAACUACUGGAAACGGUAGCUAAUACCGCAUACCAUCGGAUGUGCCCAGAUGGGAUUAGCUAGUAGGUGGGGUAAAGGCUCACCUAGGCGACGAUCCCUAGCUGGUCUGAGAGGAUGACCAGCCACACUGGAACUGAGACACGGUCCAGACUCCUACGGGAGGCAGCAGUGGGGAAUAUUGCACAAUGGGCGCAAGCCUGAUCGAGCCAUGCCGCGUGUAUGAAGAAGGCCUUCGGGUCGUAAAACUCUGUCAUCGGGGAAGCGGUAUCUGACGAGGAAGCACCGGCUAACUCCGUGCCAGCAGCCGCGGUAAUAC
rnacentral:rRNA from 1 species